AGGACGAACGCUGGCGGCGUGCUUAACACAUGCAAGUCACGGGGGUCCCGCAAGGGAUAACCGGCGAACGGGUGCGUAAUACGUGAGCAACCUGCCCUUAGCUCUGGGAUAGCUCCGGGAAACCGGAAUUAAUACCGGAUAUGACCUAGGCCGACAUCGGCCGUGGUGGAAAGUUUUUCGGCUAGGGAUGGACUCGCGGCCUAUCAGCUAGUUGGUGGGGUAAUGGCCUACCAAGGCGACGACGGGUAGCC
rnacentral:rRNA from 1 species